AUGACAACCAGCUGAUGCGAAAUGUAUUUGUUUGUAAACAAAAGCUUUUUCCAUAUUGAAAGUGCUUUCGAAGCAAUUUCUGGUAUUAUUGCAGAUGUAAUGGAAGACAUGUACCUAAGCUGUGUCUCAACUUAUUGCUACUGAUAGGCUCUUGCAUUACUAAAGAGCGAUGCAAGUAGUUUUUUAUGAGUUAUUUCCAGGCCAGUGACAUGUUAAGAAUGACAGUACUUGAAAUAACAGGACAUACAAGCUAUCUAUAAUAGCAGGACGACUAAGAAACGUCAAAAGCAAGGCACAAUGAAACAAUGGAACAUCUCUUGUACACUGGUAUCGCAUUGACAAAGCAACAUUUUAAUCAUUUGGGGGCUCAAGUGUAUAAGUUUCUAGAAGAGGUAGCGUUGCCGAGGCCACAGAAUCUGCUGAAACUC